GAUAUACUAUCAUUUGAAGUUGAGCUUGUUGUCGAACUUUUGAAAGUAGAUCUAGAUCAGCUCUUCGAUAUUUUGAAUUACUCAGCUCACUGUAUUGUUUUACCUUUGCUGAUGGUAAUCUGAUCUCAAGUGGGAUCAUUACUUCUGUUCUAUAAGUCAAAUUGAAUGGUGAUCUCUCGUUAGUAUAUGAGAAAUCGUUCGAUAUGCCCAU
rnacentral:lncRNA from 1 species